CCUACGGGCGGCUGCAGUGGGGAAUAUUGGACAAUGGGCGAAAGCCUGAUCCAGCCAUGCCGCGUGUGUGAAGAAGGCCUUCGGGUUGUAAAGCACUUUCAGUGGGGAAGAAAGCCUUGGGGCUAAUACCCUCGAGGAAGGACAUCACCCACAGAAGAAGCACCGGCUAACUCCGUGCCAGCAGCCGCGGUAAUACGGAGGGUGCGAGCGUUAAUCGGAAUUACUGGGCGUAAAGCGCGCGUAGGCGGUCUGAUAAGCCGGUUGUGAAAGCCCCCGGGCCCAACCUGGGAACGGCAUCCGGAACUGUCAGGCUAGAGUGCAGGAGAGGAAGGUAGAAUUCCCGGUGUAGCGGUGAAAUGCGUAGAGAUCGGGAGGAAUACCAGUGGCGAAGGCGGCCUUCUGGACUGACACUGACGCUGAGGUGCGAAAGCGUGGGUAGCAAACAGGAUUAGAUACCCUGGUAGUC
rnacentral:rRNA from 1 species